ACGAACGCUGGCGGCUUGCUUAACACCUGCAAGUCGAACGGAAAGGCCCUGCUUUUGUGGGGUGCUCGAGUGGCGAACGGGUGAGUAACACGUGAGUAACCUGCCCUUGACUUUGGGAUAACUUCAGGAAACUGGGGCUAAUACCGGAUAGGAGCUCCUGCUGCAUGGUGGGGGUUGGAAAGUUUCGGCGGUUGGGGAUGGACUCGCGGCUUAUCAGCUUGUUGGUGGGGUAGUGGCUUACCAAGGCUUUGACGGGUAGCCGGCCUGAGAGGGUGACCGGCCACAUUGGGACUGAGAUACGGCCCAGACUCCUACGGGAGGCAGCAGUGGGGAAUAUUGCACAAUGGGCGGAAGCCUGAUGCAGCAACGCCGCGUGCGGGAUGACGGCCUUCGGGUUGUAAACCGCUUUCGCCUGUGACGAAGCGUGAGUGACGGUAAUGGGUAAAGAAGCACCGGCUAACUACGUG
rnacentral:rRNA from 1 species